GGCGACGUAGCCAAGUGGUAAGGCAAGGGUCUGCAAAACCCUCAUUCGUGGGUUCAAGUCCCACCGUCGCCU
rnacentral:tRNA from 1 species